UACAGAGGGUGCAAACGUUGCUCGGAAUCAUUGGGCGUAAAGCGCACGUAGGCGGUUCGUUAUGUCGGAUGUGAAAGCCCUUGGCUUAACCGAGGAAGUGCAUCCGAAACUGGCGAGCUAGAGUACGAAAGAGGAUCGCGGAAUUCCCGGUGUAGAGGUGAAAUUCGUAGAUAUCGGGAGGAACACCAAAGGCGAAGGCAGUGUCCUGGGGAGUACCUGACGCUCAGGUGCGAAAGCCAGGGGAGCGAACGGG
rnacentral:rRNA from 1 species